AUGGAGAUACUAUUAAUAGUUUCUGAAUGUAAUUCUAUCACUGUUACCAAUGGAGAUACUAUUAUAUGUUCUGAAUGUAAUUCUAUCACUGUUACCAUGGAGAUACUAUUAUAUGUUCUGAAUGUAAUUCAUCACUUUUACCAUAGGAUACUAUAUAUGUUCGAAUUUAAUUCUAUCACUGUUACCAUAGAGAUACUAUUGUAUUUUCUGAAUGUAAUUCUACACUGUUACCAUGGAGAUACUAUUAUAGUUCUGAAUGUAAUCUAUCACUGUUACCAUAGAGAUACUAUAUAUGUCCUGAAUGUAUUCUAUCACUGUUACCAUGGAGAUAGAAUUACAUCCGACAUAAAUGUAUCUCCAUGGUAACAUUAAUAUCUAGGUAACAGUGAUAGAAUUACAUUCCGACAUAUAAUAGUAUCACGUACCAUGGAGAUAUAUUAUAUGUUCUGAAUGUAAUUCUAUCACUGUUACCAUGGAGAUACUAUUAUAUGUUCGAAUGUAAUUCUAUCACUGUUACCAUGGGAUACUAUUAUAUGUUCUGAAUGUAAUUCUAUCACUGUUCCAUGGAGAUACUAUUAUAUGUCCUGAAUGUAAUUCUAUCACUGUUACCAGGAGAAUCUAUUAUAGGUCCUGAAUGUAAUUCUAUCACUGUCUGUCUCCAUCUUCUUCCCACUUGAAGGAAUAAACAUCUAUAAUGAAUGAAGCCUGUGAGAGUCUGGUGUUUUGUUCUCAUGGUGUUUAAAUGUAACCAGUGACUCAAAAUGUUCCAAUUCAACAUUAAACAACGUUAUUUGAGCUAAAAUAUAAAGGAUUGAAAGCAUUAUUUUAGUGUUCAGUUAUUCAUUCAAACUUUGCCAUGACUAUGUGUCAAACCAGUCCAGCAUACACAGCUCACCAUGUCUCUAAACAUACC
rnacentral:lncRNA from 1 species